rnacentral:tRNA from 1 species
CCCUCGAUAGCUCAGUUGACAGAGUGGAGGACUGUAGAUGUUACAACGGUGAUCCUUAGGUCGCUGGUUCAAAUCCGGCUCGAGGGA